rnacentral:rRNA from 1 species
GAUAAACGCUGGCGGCGUGCCUAACACAUGCAAGUCGAACGCCCUGGAGCAAUUCAGGGAGUGGCGGACGGGUGAGGAACACGUGGGUGAUCUACCUUGAGGUGAGGAAUACCGGCGAGAAAUCGCCGACAAUACCGCAUACGUUCGUAAGAACAAAGUCGCAAGACGCCUGAAGAUGAGCCUGCGUCCGAUUAGCCAGUUGGUGGGGUAAUGGCCUACCAAAGCAGCGAUCGGUAGCUGGUCUGAGAGGACGAUCAGCCACACUGGGAUUGAG